GAUGAACGCUGGCGGCGUGCUUAACACAUGCAAGUCGAGCGAAGCAGUUAAGAAGAUUCUUCGGAUGAUUCUUAACCGACUGAGCGGCGGACGGGUGAGUAACGCGUGGGUGACCUGCCCCAUACCGGGGGAUAACAGCUGGAAACGGCUGCUAAUACCGCAUAAGCGCACAGAGCUGCAUGGCUCGGUGUGAAAAACUCCGGUGGUAUGGGAUGGGCCCGCGUCUGAUUAGGCAGUUGGCGGGGUAACGGCCCACCAAACCGACGAUCAGUAGCCGGCCUGAGAGGGCGACCGGCCACAUUGGGACUGAGACACGGCCCAAACUCCUACGGGAGGCAGCAGUGGGGAAUAUUGCACAAUGGGGGAAACCCUGAUGCAGCGACGCCGCGUGAGCGAAGAAGUAUUUCGGUAUGUAAAGCUCUAUCAGCAGGGAAGAUAA
rnacentral:rRNA from 1 species